rnacentral:misc_RNA from 1 species
AUACACCAGACCAGAAAGCAACCAGCAGUUCGAAUGAGUUACUGAAUAUACCAGAAAGUCGAGAACAAGAUUCGAAAGAUCCGGAUAUCAUUCCUACCAAGGACGACUGGAACUACUUACCCAAACGAAAACAAGACAAGAGUUUCUGUGAGGUUCUAGUUCCACCAGAACGAAGUGCAACGAUCCACACACGACAACAAAACUGUACUGGAGUACCUGAAGAGUCAGCGAGUAAUAAUACAUUAGUUUUGCAGAAAAAUUGUAGACGUCACUCAGAUUAUGAAAAGUGCUGCAUUACCGAGUUUUCGCUGGUUACAAAAGAGCCAUCUGUCCAGAGAAACCCAGCUGGAUGUAAUACACAGUCAACAUUCCGAAGACCUAGUGGAGAAAAAGUAUCUGAGGACUUUAAGUUUCAUUGUAACUCAAGUGGCCUUAAUAGUACGCCUAGAAUUAGACAUAACAAACAAAGGAAAUUUAUAUCUACAGCAGUAUGAAGAAAGGUCGAACGUAAAGAAUAGUUGAAGAAUGGUA